rnacentral:rRNA from 1 species
UAAAGAAUUUCGGUAUGGGAUGGGGAUGCGUUCCAUUAGUUAGUUGGCGGGGUAACGGCCCACCAAGACAACGAUGGAUAGGGGUUCUGAGAGGAAGGUCCCCCACAUUGGAACUGAGACACGGUCCAAACUCCUACGGGAGGCAGCAGUGAGGAAUAUUGGUCAAUGGACGAGAGUCUGAACCAGCCAAGUAGCGUGAAGGAUGACUGCCCUAUGGGUUGUAAACUUCUUUUAUAUGGGAAUAAAACGUUCCACGUGUGGGAUUUUGUAUGUACCAUAUGAAUAAGGAUCGGCUAACUCCGUGCCAGCAGCCGCGGUAAUACGGAGGAUCCGAGCGUUAUCCGGAUUUAUUGGGUUUAAAGGGAGCGUAGGUGGAUUGUUAAGUCAGUUGUGAAAGUUUGCGGCUCAACCGUAAAAUUGCAGUUGAAACUGGCAGUCUUGAGUACAGUAGAGGUGGGCGGAAUUCGUGGUGUAGCGGUGAAAUGCUUAGAUAUCACGAAGAACUCCGAUUGCGAAGGCAGCUCACUGGACUGCAACUGACACUGAGGCUCGAAAGUGUGGGUAUCAAACAGGAUUAGAUACCCUGGUAGUCCACACAGUAAACGAUGAAUACUCGCUGUUUGCGAUAUACAGCAA